rnacentral:rRNA from 1 species
AAAAUACAACUUUCAGCAAUGGAUCUCUUGGUUCUCGCAUCGAUGAAGAACGCAGCGAAUUGCGAUAAGUAAUGUGAAUUGCAGAUUUCCAGUGAAUCAUCGAAUCUUUGAACGCAUCUUGCGCUCCUUGGUAUUCCGAGGAGCAUGCCUGUUUGAGUGUCAUUUAAUUAUCAACCACCGUUCUUUAGGGAACGAUGGGUUGGAGUUGGGGGUUGCUGGCGACGACGUGGUCGUCAGCUCUCCUUAAAUGCAUUAGCGAUCGAGUUGGGCUAUCAAGUCUUUCGACAUGCACGGCCAUUGACGUGAUAAUGAUCGUCCUGGCUGGAGUGUCUAACCUAGACUAUGCUACAUAGAUUGCUUCUAACAGAAAAGAACCUUGAACUUUGUGAAGCUUAGCUAUUAGGCAGUCCUUUGAAAAGAGGCUGGCGAACACAAGCGAAAGAAAGGGAGAGGAUCGAAAUCCUUGAUCAGCUUAGUUACUAGGCAGUCCUUGAAAAAGAGGCUGGCGAACACAAGCGAGAGAA